rnacentral:rRNA from 1 species
GUGGGGAAUCUUGCGCAAUGGGCGAAAGCCUGACGCAGCCAUGCCGCGUGAAUGAUGAAGGUCUUAGGAUUGUAAAAUUCUUUCACCGGGGACGAUAAUGACGGUACCCGGAGAAGAAGCUCCGGCUAACUUCGUGCCAGCAGCCGCGGUAAUACGAGGGGGGCUAGCGUUGCUCGGAAUUACUGGGCGUAAAGGGCGCGUAGGCGGACAGCUUAGUCAGAGGUGAAAGCCCAGGGCUCAACCUUGGAAUUGCCUUUGAUACUGGCUGUCUUGAGUACGGGAGAAGUGAGUGGAACUCCGAGUGUAGAGGUGAAAUUCGUAGAUAUUCGGAAGAACACCAGUGGCGAAGGCGACUCACUGGCCCGUUACUGACGCUGAGGCGCGAAAGCGUGGGGAGCAAACAGGAUUAGAAACCCUGGUAGUCC